UCCAAGCAAAAACAGGAUCCUGACUAUGAGAAGCAGAAUCAUCAUACAGCCAGCUGUCCAUUUUACAGAAAUGCAGAAUUAGGUUCAUUCAGACAGUCAACCUUUGUGGCACCAAAUGCAUUGAAAGUCAGAUCAGCUGGAAUUCUGGAAAGAGGGUUCAGCCUGAAUCCCAUCCUGCUGUUUCUCAUCGGAGAGCUUGUCAACUUUUACUG